CGGGGAUCGAGCUUCUCAUUUUACCAAACCAUAUUACUCCCUUCAUAGGAGAUACCCUUAGAAACACCUUAUCCCUAACUUCAAACUCCAAGUCUCUACACCUUACAUCCGCAUAGGACUUUUAGCGACUUUGGGCCACCAUAAGCCUAUCCCAAAUCACCUUCACCUUUUCUAUAGCAUGAUAAACCAAAUCUGGACCGAACAUAUCCACCUUACCAAGCUCAAACCACCCAAUAAGAGAUCUAUACC
rnacentral:lncRNA from 1 species